AUACGUAGGUCCCGAACGUUGCGCGAAAUUACUGGGCGUAAAGGGUCCGUAGGCGGUCUGGUAAGUGGAAGGUGAAAGCCUGGGGCUCAACUCCAGAAUUGCCUUCCAAACUGCCGGACUUGAGGCAGGGAGAGGUCGGCGGAAUUCCCGGUGUAGUGGUGAAAUGCGUAGAUAUCGGGAGGAACACCAGUGGCGAAGGCGGCCGACUGGAACUGUCCUGACGCUGAGGGACGAAAGCCAGGGGGGCGAACCGGAUUAGAAACCCCAGUAGUCC
rnacentral:rRNA from 1 species